GCUUGCUACAGAUGACGACCGGCGCACGGGUGCGUAACGCGUAUAGAACCUACCUUUUACAGAGGGAUAGCCUUUAGAAAUGAAGAUUAAUACCUUAUGGUAUUAUAGACUGGCAUCAGUUUAUAAUUAAAGAUUUAUCGGUAAAAGAUGGCUAUGCGUCCUAUUAGUUAGAUGGUAAGGUAACGGCUUACCAUGACAUCGAUAGGUAGGGGUCCUGAGAGGGAGAUCCCCCACACUGGUACUGAGACACGGACCAGACUCCUACGGGAGGCAGCAGUGAGGAAUAUUGGGCAAUGGAGGCAACUCUGACCCAGCCAUGCCGCGUGCAGGAAGACGGCCCUAUGGGUUGUAAACUGCUUUUAUACAGGAAGAAACACUAGUACGUGUACUAGCUUGACGGUACUGUAAGAAUAAGGACCGGCUAACUCCGUGCCAGCAGCCGCGGUAAUACGGAGGGUCCGAGCGUUAUCCGGAAUCAUUGGGUUUAAAGGGUCCGCAGGCGGUCAAUUAAGUCAGAGGUGAAAUACCAUA
rnacentral:rRNA from 1 species